rnacentral:rRNA from 1 species
AAACAACUCUCAGCAACGGAUAUCUUGGCUCUUGCAACGAUGAAGAACGCASCGAAAUGCGAUACGUAGUGUGAAUUGCAGAAUUCCGCGAAUCAUCGAGUCUUUGAACGCAAGUUGCGCCCGAGGCUUGUCCGAGGGCAUUUCCGCUAGAGCGUCACC